rnacentral:rRNA from 1 species
AUUGAACGCUGGCGGCAGGCCUAACACAUGCAAGUCGAGCGAGCGGCGGACGGGUGAGUAAUGUAUGGGGACUGCCCGAUAGAGUGGGAUAACUACUGGAAACGGUAGCUCAUACCGCAUACUAUCGGAUAACCCAUAUGGGAUUAGCUAGUAGGUGAUGUAAUGGCUCACCUAGGCGACGAUCCCUAGCUGGUCUGAGAGGAUGAGCAGCCACACUGGGACUGAGAAACGGCCCAGACUCCUACGGAGGCAGCAGUGGGGAAGAUUGCAAAAGGGGCGAAAGCCUGAUGCAGCCAUGCGGCGUGUAUGAAGAAGGCCCUAGGGUUGUAAAGUACUUUCAGUCGGGAGGCGUUACCGACAGAAGAAGCACCGGCUAACUCCGUGCCAGCAGCCGCGGUAAUUC